CAACUGCCCCUCCCCCACACCUUUCUGCGUGGCACAUGGAAAAUUGAAAGUAUCUCUGGUUGCUUCUGCGUAGGAAUGUAACUUUGUAACCAAUCAGACGGAUCGCAGGCCAAGUCGCCUGCAUAGAAAUGUAACUUUGUAACUUCACUUUAGCCUCUGAUUGGUUGCUUUCCACAACCAAUCAGAUGCUUGCAUAGGGUGUACCUGUUGUGACUUCACAAAGUGGUGGAAGUGGUGGAAGUGGUGGAAGGGUGGAAGGGCUAUUUAAAUUUUUAUUCAUCCUCUGAUUGGUUGUUUCACUUAAGCCUCUAAUUGGUUCUUGAGUCCUGGAGCCUGUGAAGGGUACUUUAUUUUCAGUAAAUGCAUGCUUUUUUUGCUUCAUUCUUUCCUUGCUUUGUGCAUUUUGUUCAGUUCUUAGUUCAAGACACCAAGAGCCUGGACACCCUCCACUGGUAACAAAAGUAACUGGUGUUUUUGCCAUUAGAAGUAAUGGCACAGAACAAGUACAUGAGAGCGAUUUCUUAUGGAAAAUUAAAUGGCGCAUAAGUCGUGUGCUCAGGUCCGGCGGGGGCGGGACUUUAAAGGUAAAAACAGCAAUUACUUUUGCACCAACUUAUCUUCUAAGUUUCGCUCCCUACCACCUGAGUGUGUUUGGAGGCUCUGGCUCAUUGUACCUGCCUGAUCACCAGGUGCAAGUAGCUGGGCCAGAAGGACCUCGGCACGUUACGGAAUAUUUACUACAGGAACAGGUGAGCUGAAGGCGAAUUCCCCAGGUGUAGCCUGUGACCAUAGAUUCAGACAAAGCCCUGACUGUUGCCUGGAAUUCAAAAAAGCUGUAGCCCUACCAGAUAGAAUAAGAAAAGAAUAUAGGAUUCUUCCUAUUCAAAUAGGUUGCAUAUAAUUAAGAGCAUGAACGAUCCAAUGGAAUGAACUCAAAGUAGUUUUUGAGUGUAAUAGACUUGAAGUGUCUUAUGGAAAAGAAUUGCAAAACCACAGAAACAGUGAAGAAGGUUAGUUAUAGCCUUGAUGGGGUAGCUGACUUCAGCAGUCUCAGCUAUCUGAAAAGUUAUUUACCAGAUUUUGGUUGGGAACAUAAUCCCUAAAUCAUUUGAGAUAAUGUACUUGUUUCCUUACUGGGUAAAUGUGUUUAAACCUUGAGAAAAUGUAGACAUAAGUAGAAUAUAGAAUAAAUUAAACCUUUGGUAGUUAUGUUUUAGGAUUAAGGACUAAUAAGUACAUAUUUGAUAUUUAAGCAUUUGUAAUGCUUGAGAUAAUUUAUCCUACUCAAGUAACAGAUUACUCUUGUGACUCCAAUGUAAAAUAUAUCAUUGAAAAAUUAGUAUCUGCUUGUGAUUUUUAAGUAGAAACCCUGCCAUUUGAAAGGUAUUUGCCUUUAUUAUUGGAGAUAUUUCAUAUGAAUGUUUAACUUUGUUAUUGCAUAGAAGUAUUUAAACAGAUUUCACUUGCAAGAGAAAGAUAUCUAAUAGGUUACUCUUAAUCAGUACUAAAUUACUACAAUUACUAUAUUCUAUUAAUAUCGAUUCAUUAAAACCCAGAGCUUUAAUUAUGUCUCAGAAAAUUAAUUAAACUUUAGCCUCAUAAUCAGCUUUAUUUUCUAACUCAAUGUUUAAAAAUUGACAAGUAUGUAUUAUACUUAUUUAUGUCUUCAUUCAGUAAACAUUUGCAUUUGUAGCAUGCAAGACAACAUGCUAGACACACGAAAGAUGGAAUAAAUGGAAGAAAAUGCAACACAGAUCUCAUGCUUAAGAGGGACAGAUUUACUCUGAAGAUUCAAUGAAAAAACAUCCACAAACAACUUUUCUACAAGAAACAAAACAUUUUAAAGAAAACAUUUACUUCAGCCGGGCGCGGUGGCUUACGCCUGUAAUCCCAGCACUUUGGGAGGGCGAGGCGGGUGCAUCACGAGGUCAGAAGUUCGAAACCAGACUGGCCAGUAUGGUGAAACUGUGUCUCUACUAAAAAUACAAAAAUUAGCCUGGCGUGGUGGUGUGUGCCUGUGAUCCCAGCUACUCAGGAGGCUGAGGCAGGAGAAUCGCUUGAACCUGGGAGGCAGAGGUUGCAGUGAGCUGAGAUCAGGCCAUUGUGCUCCAGCCUGGGCAACAGAGCGAGACUCCGACUCAAAAAAAAAAAAAAGAAAAAAGAAAAAAAGAAAACAUUUACUUCACAUAAUAAGAUAUGAGAAAAAAUGGACUCUCUGAAUGAAAAAAAGAGGAGAUCAUGUGAAAGAUUUGCGCUUUUUUUUUUUUUAAAGUUAUGGACUGAAACACUCCUAAUCAUUAACAUUUGUUAUUUUAGGGGAGUGGAAUUGGAAAGGUGGAAAGGGCUAUUUACAUUUUUAUAAUCUCCAUGUCUUUUAAAUCAAUAUAUAUUGCAUUUAUUCUUUUAGUUAAAAUUUUAAGAACUCUAUAAAAAAUAGAGACAGGGACUCCCUUUGUUACCCAGGCUGGUCUCAAACUCCUGGGAUUAAGUGAUCCUCCCACCUCAAUUAGAAGGGUGGAAGGGCCAGCUGUUUAAGUUUCUAUAAUCUCUGUUAAAUCAAAUGUAUAUUGCAUUUAUUAUUUUAAAUUUUAAAAACUUUUUUAAAAAUAGAGAUGGGAUCUUCCUAUGUUGUCCAGGCUGGUUGUGAGCUCCUAGGAUCAAGUGAUUCUCCCGCCUUGACCUUUCAAAGAGCUGGGAUUACAGGCAUGAGCCACCAUGCCCAGCCUAUUUAUUUGUUUAUUUAUUUUUAGAGGCAGGGUCUCACUCUCACUAGACUGAAGUGCAGUGGUGUGAUCAUAGCUCACUGCAGUCUCAAACUCCUGGACUCAAGCAAUCAACUAGCCUCAGCCUCUGAGUACUGAGAUGACAGGCAUGUGCCUUCAUACCCAGCUAAUAUUUUUGUAGAGAUGGGGUCUUCCUGUGUUGCCCGGAAGAGUCUCAAACUCUUGGCCUCAGCCUCCCAAAGCACUGGGAUUGCAGGCAUGAGCCACAACACAUGGCCCUGCUUUUAAAAAAUAUAUAGUGGGCCAGGCUUUCUGGGAUGAUGGGCAACCAUUACAUUUGCUUUCUCUCCAUUCUGAAUGUCAGCCUCCAUACACCUCUCUUGAGCCAUCUCUUGAUGCCCAGGACUGGCAGGCAAGCAGGAUGUUAGGGUGCUGGCUGGAGGGCUGGAAAGCCCCAGGGCAAGGAUAUGAACGUGAAGGAUUUUAAGGAGAUUCUUGGACCUCAAGGGAACUUUUGGUCCUGGUUUCCUAGAGUAUGUUAGAUCUUCUUGGCCCCCAAAGAAUCAAGGAAAAGCUGAAUAGGUGGACCGAAUCCUUUCCAGCACUGAGGCUGGGAGAACUCUAUGACACCAGUGGGUGCUCAUCCUGGUGCUGCCAUGGACCUGACUACCUACGUCCGCUAAACUCUCCAGCAGCUGAGCCUUCAAGAGAAGACGUCCUCCACCUUUUCCAUGAGAUGAAGAAUCCUUGGGGCCAGGGGAUGUGCUCACUAGCUCACACCUGUCUCCAUCCUCUAGACCAUGCUUGCAGUACACAGGACCCCAGAAUGCCUGGCCCAAACACUCGUGAGCCUCCAGGGGCUGCAGGGGCUUCUGGCCUUGUUUCCCCAUCUGAUGAGUUCGUUUCUUGGUCUGAAAGAUUGUGACAGUUACUACGAGACUGAAUGAAGGGGGAUGAAUGCAGAAAUGAAAACUUAAGACAAAAGUAACUUUUAAUGAGAGGGGCCGAGGGAAGAAGAAGAGGGCUCCCUGCUUCUAAUGAGCAAAGGCAGCCACCCUGAGCUUCUACAGCCCUUCGUAUUUAUUGAGUAGAAAGAGCAGGGAGGAGGAGGUAAUGAUUGGUCAGCUGCUGGAUUGAUCACAGGUUCAUAUUAUUGCUAACAGGCUUCAGAUGUGCCUGAUCACAAGAAACACUUGCGCCUGGGCAUGACUGCCCUCAGCAUUCCUUCUGGGCGGCAGAUGCAGUUUGUCAGUUUGCUAACAACCUGCUUUCAUGAGAACAGUUUGCUGCUUACUUACACAGCCACCAGUGAUUUACUGAGUUGAUCACGACCCUCACUCUUUCGGCCUCCAACAAAAGACGAUCAAAGAAUGGUUGUUUGCAGAGGUUAUGGACAAGACUUGAUGUCCAGGCCGAGUGUCCGUAUGCACAGGAGCCUCUUGGUGGUGCAGAGUGAAGCCAGAGGAGGAGGAGUGGGUUGUGUCCAUGGGCUGAUUCUCCCUGCACCAACAGGACAGAAUCCUAAGGAAUCCGAGCAUUUGAAAUUCAAAUCUGGUCUUACAGGUUGUUAUGUAUUUGUCUAGGUAGGAGGCUAGAAUGUAUUGAAAUGGGGUUAGCCUGACAUAUUUAUAUAUUUCAUAUUUAGGCUUCCAUUUGUUCCUUUGUCUUGGGUCCCAAAAAUAUAUUAGAGGUGGGCCUGUCUGUUCUCUUGGACACGAGGACCUCAACGAGUUUCCACUGUUCUCUGAAUGUUUCCUUCCUGGUUUUCUGUGUAUACAAUAAUUCCUAGUUUUCUGUUAUUUACAAUUUUACUUCCACUUUUUAAAGACAAAAAUGUAUGUUUUUUUAGUCAAUAUUGAUAUAGUGGACCAAUAUAUUUUACCGUUAUUUUUGCUUACUGUUUUUGUUUUUUUGCCUUCCUCAUCUUCUCACUAAGUUUGUCUGACUACAGCCACACACCAUUCAUUCAAUACCAACUCUUUUUUAUUUUUAUUUUUUGGAGAGAGGGUCUCACUCUGUCACCCAGGCUGGAGUGCAGUGGCAUGAUCUUGGUUCACUGCAGUCUCAAACUCUUGGACUCAAAUGUUCUUCCUGCCUCAGCCUCCUGAGUAGCUGGGACCACAGGUGCACACGACCAUGCCUGGCUAAUUAAAAACAAAACAAUUUUUUUUUUUUUAGAGACGGGGUCUCACUAUGUUGCCUAGGCUGGUUUCAAACUCCUGGGGUCAAGUGAUCCAAUACCAACUCAACAGGUGGUGAGACCCAGUGGUCUAGACAAACAGCCACAUAGCAAUAUGUUUUUCUCCAUGAUUCAUAUCCAUGUUCGUUUGUUACAAAAUAACAGGCAUGAACAUUUUCUUCAGAGAGGGAGAUCCCCACUUAUCCAUUAAUGACUCAUUUGGUGUCCAUUCCAAACUAUUAAACUGCAAAAGCAGACAUGAGAAAAGAAACUUAAGUCAAUGUUUUUAUCACAUGUUGGUGCCAGCGUCCCAUAGUGGUGCUAAAUUUAUGAAAUUGCAACAAAACAAAAACCCAAACAACCCAACAACGAAAAGCUAUUUAGUGAACACCGUGACUAACAAGCUUAUUAGAACUGCUUAUCAGAGCUAUGUGUGGAUUUUGUAGGGGGAAAGAUUUUCUUCCCUCGUAGACAUUUUGCAAAAUAAAAGUAAAAUAUUACCUUUAUGUACGUGGUAGAUAGAAUUCCACAAGCUUCAAAUUCAACGACUCAAAAAUGUUGCUUUUACUUUCCAUAUCUCAGAAGUCACUUUUAUUUUAUUUAUUUUUUAGAGAUAGGGUCUCGCUCUGUUGCCCAAGCUGGAGUUGCAGUGGCACAAUCAUAGCUCACUGCAGCCUUGAACUCCUGGGCUCAAGCAGUCCUCUUAUCUCAGCAUCCUGAGUAGCUGGGACUACAGGCGCAUACCACCACUCCUAGCUGAUUUUUAAAUUCUGUGUAGACAUAGGAUCUUGCUGUACUGCCCAGGCUAGUCUUGAACUCUUGGCCUCAAGUGAUCCUCCCACCUUGGCCUCCUAAAGUGCCGGGAUUGCAGGUGUGAGCCACCAUACCUGCCCAGAAAUCUCUUAUUUUAAACCCCAAUUCCUCCUGAUAGUAAAAAAAAAAAAAAAAAAAAAAAAAAAAAAAUGUCAUCUUGGUGUAUUUUGGGUAGGCUGGAUCACUUCAAGUUUCCCCCUCCUCCUGAAGCUCCGACAGAGGCCUGCAAGCCCUGCUGGGAUCUGUCCUCAGUCCCUCUCGGGCUCAUCUUCUACCAUCUUGCUGUCACUCCAUCUCCCUGUCCUUCCCUUUGCUUCACCCAUACCAGACCCUGUACUGUUUCUGGAAGACACCAGGCAUGCUGUGUCUUAGGGGAGAAUGUGAUUUCACCAACUAGUGCUGCCCAAGUAACAUGCAUUUGCCCUGACUGCUCUUUUCACCUGCUGUGCUGUUCCCCCAGAUAACCACAGGCAAACCCCGCCAACUCCUAGUUUAUUGAACUAUACCAUGAGUAACUUACUUAAAAUCUCCAUACCUUGUCCCAUUCUCUCUUACCUGUUCCAAUACUUAUUUAUGAUGUUGAUAGAUGAUCUCCCUCUACUAGACUGGAAGCUCCUUGACAGCGGGGAUUCUUGUCUGUUUUGUUCACUGCUGUGUCUUUAGCACCUGGAGAAAUGCCUGGCACACAGCAGGAACUCAGUAAAUAACUGCUGAAUAAAUAAACAUGAAUAAAUCAA